rnacentral:lncRNA from 1 species
CGAAAAACAAAUAUGACAGACAUAAACCAGGGAAACCAAUGUACUGCAGGCCCAUACAGAAUUUGUCAGGGGUUACACAUGUGUGUGAGCACUUAACCUAGAACAGUGAUGUAAAAGCAUAACAUAAAAACAUAAUGCCAAUUAUCUUGUGUUUACGUUUCACUCCAGGUGUAAAACUCAGAAAUUUGUUAAAAUAAAAACCCGAAUUAUAAUACUCUCAAAACACUUGGCUGUGCUUCUUUAUUUUGUCUAUUGAUGAAGACUGAAUAAAGCUCCUACAUGUCGUUUGGUUUUCUUAGUCGUUGGGUUGCAUUACUAAUUGCCUAAUUAUUAUGAAUAGGAAUGACACACGCUCCUUGAUGUGGAUCAAUUGGAUUAACUUUAUAUCAAGAAAAACUUUAAUAUGCAUGAUACCUAUUUCGGAUUGAAAAAUAAAUUAUGUACAGUUAUAAGUGUAAACAAUUGAUAUAAAAAAGAUGUGGUAUGACUGCCAAUGAGACAACUCUCUACAACUAUAGGUCACCAUACGGCCUUCAACAAUGCGCAAAGCCCAUACCGCAUAGUCAGCUAUAAAAGGCCCCGAAAUGACAGUGUAAAACAAUUCAAACGAAUAAACUAAAAGCCUUAUCUGUGACCAAUAAUUUAUUAUUUAUUGAUAUUGGACAUUGAUUUAAGACGACAACAAUCAAUCGGGUGUAGUUGUGGCAAGUAGACUAGUGCCGCCACAUUGGACGUAGAUUAGAGUAUCAAAAUAUUGGACGUCGAUUAGAGUAUCAAAAUAUUGGACGUCGAUUUGAGAAUGUGACGUCAGAUUUGGACGUCGAUUUGUGAAACGGACGUCGAUUUGAGGAACGGACGUCGAUUAGAGGCCGGACGUAGAUCUGAGUCUAACAUAUAUAUAUA